GGAGAGGUGCUGGAGUGGCCGAACAGGGCUGCCUGCUAAGCAGUUACACCCCAAAAGGGUGUCGGGGGUUCGAAUCCCCCCCUCUCCGCCA
rnacentral:tRNA from 1 species